CACGGUCUACCAACAAGGCCUCCUGAAUUCUCUGCUUUACCACAGCUGCCUGGAUUGUUUCUUUUUUUUCCCCUUAUACUCAGUGUAGUCUGCUCUGACUUCCAGACCUAGUGAGUACUUGAAAAGCUGUGGUCAAAGGCUAUUAGGAAAAGUCGGGGGAGUAGGAACAAUACAAGUCAGGGACAGGAACCCAAAGCCUUGGCAAGGCCCUUGGGGACAGAAUGAACCAAGGUCAGUCAAGUCGGAUGCAGGAAAGAGCAGCCUUUUCCCUCACAAUAUGCCUGGGGAGUUGUUCAGAACAGGACGGCUCUGGCAACAGAAGCUGUUCAGUUCCCCGGGGUCUUGUAAGCCCUAACGAUCUUGCCACCACCCCAUCAACAGCAGUUAUUAAGCGGCCUAAUUAUUAAACAAGACAGGUGGAAGAGAAAGUGCGAGCUCAAAGCUGAACUGCCAAGACUCCAGAAUAAAUCCUCUGGAUUUAUUCUCCCAUCAAGGCCAGAGAACUGACAGAAUCCCAGGCAAGAAUAAUGUCUGUUCAAGGAUGAAGUCCGAUGCCCGGCCCAGAGCCGAUGCUCGGGAAAUGCUUACUAGAAUCAAAUGGGAAUCGGGAGCUGAGUCCUGUGCAACUUCGUAUUCCGCCCAAGGCUAGCAGCACUGCGUGAAUGAAAGACGAUGGACGUUAAUGAUGGAGUUUGCAGUUUCAAAGGACCCUUGCCGGGAACACGGGUUUCUGCUGCAGUACUGUGGGCUCCCUAAUUAUUUAGGAAGUCUGUGUUCUUGUCUUCAUUUCAUCUUGGCUUUGUCCCCUAGUAGACAGAGCUUCUGAUAAAUAAAUAUGGCUGCUAAACAAGAAAAAGAUCAAGGGCCAUUCUGCUGGCUUUUCUUCCUCCUCACCAAGUGUCAGGAGUCCUGAGCCUCCAGGGCUGUCUGGGCGUGUCUCCUCUCCCCACCUUUGUACAGACCAGGCUGGGAUUGUUUCAGAAGCUGGGAUCAUUUACCUCCAGCUCUCCUGACCCCUUCCCUUCCACUCCUUACUCUCGUCCAUGUUCUCAUCGUCUCUAGGUAAUUUUGGACUCCAUGCACUCAGCUGUGACCUGCUCCCUACAGAUUCAACAAAUCUCAAUUCCGUGGAUUUGGCACUUUUACACAGAGAGCACAUUUGGAGGGCCGAGGACGCAUCUCAGAGAGUUCAUCACACAGAGACGGAGUUAUUUACCAACAUCGUUUCCUGCUUGGUCUUCUGUGCGCUCUCAGAAGACAGAAACCGUGUCUUUCGUCUCUGUGACUCAGAAGGAUAAAGCUUUCCAUACACGCUGGUAAAUGGAUGACUUCCCCGAGGUCACCCCGCUGCUAACUCAGGCACAGCUGGUACAAGAACCACGACCAGUGUCUUUCUGAUUCUCUGUCCCUGGUUCCUUCCAGAACACUUUGUGAAAGAAAAUGGGCUGAGGACUUACAAAAUGUCAAUUAAACAUUUGGGCCUCGCCGAGGAUUAUUCCGUUGUGGAACAACUGUCUCAUGCUUGCUUCUCCCGAGCUGCGCCAAAGGAAGAAGAGCGAGCAAACAAUUCCAAGUCUUUGAAAAUGCACCCGAUGGGUUUUCUUCAGGGGAUUCACCUUCCUAUUAGCCGUCUGUGUGUUAAUAGUUGAACUAAUGAGCGCUUUCAAGCACACAGACAGGUGGCAGAAGCCAGAAGCUGGGCAAGGACACGGGGGACCUGGGACAAAUCGCGAGAACCGCUCCUCUGAGUGCCCCUUCCUAGAGACGCAGGAAUGCCAUUGCUCUAAUCCUGGGUGCCCCCUUUGUCCUGUGCUCGCCAGGUUUCUGAAGCUCAGUUCUGUGCCCUGUGUGAACAGUCUUUACAGGCACCGGGUGUUAGAGCACAGGGAUGACGUGCAAGGAUUCUGUGGGCUGGGGUGAUGCCUCCAAGGACACACCAACGCUGACUCUGAUGGAGACCAGGACACAUUCGUUCCCUCACGUCAGAGCGGCCUCCUCUGGAAAAGGCAAGAUGUCACGGGGCACAGAGAGACCACCGCUAUCCAAAACAAAGCUUCGGGCCAACCACAGCUCUGUUUUGUAAGCAUUCUCUGCGGAAGUCCUUCUAUCCAAGGCCCCGUAAAGUGGGGACUUCUCAAAAGGAGCGGCUUUAUACCAGAAUCUCGGGAGAAUACGCUUCAAUAGCAGUCUGAUGGGAUGGGAGGUGCCUUCUUUGGGGACAGCAUACUGCCAGUGAAUCCCCUGGGACAAGGCCUGAGACUAAUAAAAAUUCCAUUACUUAGACCAGGGUAAUGACUAAACAACAGAACUGUAUUGCUCACAGCCCUGGGAGCUGGGAAGUCCAUGCUCAGGAUCAGGAUUCAGGGCUCCUUUCUUCUAUUUGUCUACACAGCCAAGGAGGUCAAGUUCCCUUUGGCCUUUUUUAAAAACAAAACAAAGAUGUCGUGUGUGUCUAUCCUCCAAGACAAGAACCCGCCAUCUUGAGCAGUUCUUCCGCACGUCCUUGCAGAGGACCAUCCUGGGCUUAACUGUUUACACCCCUCAUAGAGGAGUGGGAGGGCCAAGACACCACCCCCCUCCCCCCGGCAUCCACCUGCUCCCUACCACCUGUUAGGGGUGAUUUUGCCCUAAUUACCUGUGUUCUUGGGAAGGGACUAGGGUAUAUAGGCUGAGGAAGACUAUGCAGCUGUGGGAAGCCCUCAUCCUUGCUAGCUCAACACUUUCCAGGUGGAGCCCUUUAAGGGUGUAAUACCCAGACACCUUUAAGUAACCAACCCCACACCUAUGCUCUGUAAGAAAGUCCAACAAACUCAUUGGUUCUCCAAGGCAAGCUUUGGCUGAACCGUGUCUCAGUUUGUUGUUGGGAACUUAGGAGGAAGGGUAGGCCUUGCUUACGUCACCCCAAACAAAGGGAUCUCACCACACAGUCUUGCUAUGUUCUCCAGGUUAGCCUUGUACUCCUGCCUCAGCCUGCUAGAACUGCAAGUGUAUAUGCAUCACACAGGAUCCUUGACCCUGUCAUUGAACAGGUCCUUAAGGCAGCACCCUCAGCACCUGGCCACUCACCAGGGUGACAGCUCUCAAGCUACCUCACCAGGGACUAAACUACCACAUUGAUUUUUUUUCAUGGAAGUAGGGCAAUAAACACCCAGCCCACAGCAAGACAGAGAGAAAAAUUGUAGGUAAGGGUUAGUUUUUGUGUUGAUUUCUGUUUUUCCUUUGAGAAUUCUCUAGAAAAGAAAGCCUACUGUUUGUUUUGCAUUUAUUUUUAAGACUCGGUCUUGGUCUUCUGUAACCCAGACUGGCCUUGAACUUCCUGUGUCGUAGAGCAUGACCUUGAAUUCCUGAUCCUCCUGACUUUACCUCCCCAAUUUGAGAUUACAAGUCUGCACCACGGUGGAGUGCUUCUGCAGCGCUGGGGACAAACCCAGGACGGUGGACAGUGGGCAAACACCCUUUAACUCUGUUAGCAGCCUGGAUAAGGGCACAGAGACGCUGAAAGAAGUGUGGCAAUGUCCUUCAGAUGCGGGGAAGGUCUCAGACAGACUUAGGGAAGUAGUCUCUGCCCCCCAGCCUCAGUGCCUGUCCUUGGCCCAGCUAGCUGCCUCUAAUUAGGAGAAGUUCUAAUUCGUUUGAAAAUCCUUGCAUGCCCGUGCCCUUAGUCCCAGCACUCAAGGAGGCAGAGGCAGGUGGAUCCCUGUGAGUUGACUUCUGGUCUAUGAAGCAAGUUCCGGGACA